rnacentral:rRNA from 1 species
AGAAGCAGCCAUCCAUUCAAAGAGUGCGUAACAGCUCACUGGUCGAGUGGACAUGCGCCGACAAUACACGGGGCUAAGCUGGACACCGAAGCGGCGGGAUUUUAAUUCAUUAGAAUCGGUAGGGGAGCUUCCCAUGGGCGGAGAAGCCGGAGGGCGACCGACGGUGGAGCGCAUGGGAGUGAGAAUGCUGGCAUGAGUAGCGAGAGACGAGAGAGUAACUCGUCCGCCGUGAACCCGAGGUUUCCUGGGCAAGGCUAAUCCUCCCAGGGUCAGUCGGGGGCUAAGGCGAGGCCGGUAGGCGUAGCCGACGCGCAGCAGGCAGACAUUCCUGCACCGCGCACGCGGCGCUACGACCGACGGGGCGACGGAUGGGGGUGGCUCGGCGGGGUUCUGGACGUCCCCGUGAUGGAGCGCGGCCCGCGGACCAGGGAAAUCCGGUCCGCAGAAGGGCGAGGCUCCGGACGAAGCGAUUGAGCGAAGCGAGUGAGCCCGAGGUCCCUAGAAAAACCCCUAGGCAGGCGCGUGCGCGCCCGUACCGCAAACCGACACAGGUGGGUGGGUAGAACAUACCGAGGCGAUCGGGUCAACCAUGGUCAAGGAACUCGGCACAAUGGCCCCGUAACUUCGGGAGAAGGGGUGCCCGCGCGUACGUGAACGGACUUGCUCCGGGAGCGGAGGCGGGCCGCAGUGGAGAGGCCCAAGCGACUGUUUACCAAAAACACAGGACUCUGCAGAAGCCGCAAGGCGACGUAUAGGGUCUGACGCCUGCCCGGUGCCGGAAGGUCACGCGGAGGAGUUAGCGCAUCGCGCGAAGCCCCGAAGCCAAGCCCCGGUAAACGGCGGCCGUAACUAUAACGGUCCUAAGGUAGCGAAAUUCCUUGUCGGGUAAGUUCCGACCUGCACGAAAGGCGCAACGACUUGGGCGCUGUCUCGACCAUGGACCCGGUGAAAUUGCACUGGUCGUGAAGAUGCGACUUACCCGCGGAAGGACGGAAAGACCCCGUGAACCUUCACUGCAGCUUGGCAUUGGCCGCUGGUCCCGCGUGUAGAGGAUAGGCAGGAGGCAUCGAUCCGGAGGCGCCAGCCCCCGGGGAGCCGCCCUUGGAAUACUGCCCUCGCGCGACCGGCGUCCUAACCCGAGGCCGUCAACCGGCUCGGGGACCGUGCCAGGCGGGCAGUUUGACUGGGGCGGUCGCCUCCUAAAGGGUAACGGAGGCGCGCGAAGGUCCGCUCGGGACGGUCGGCAACCGUCCUUUUGAAUGCAAGAGUACAAGCGGGCUUGACUGCGAGGCCCACAAGCCGAGCAGGUGCGAAAGCAGGCUCUAGUGAUCCGGCGGCCCCGAGUGGGUGGGCCGUCGCUCAACGGAUAAAAGGUACUCCGGGGAUAACAGGCUGAUCUUGCCCAAGAGUCCACAUCGACGGCAAGGUUUGGCACCUCGAUGUCGGCUCAUCGCAUCCUGGGGCUGGAGCAGGUCCCAAGGGUACGGCUGUUCGCCGUUUAAAGCGGUACGCGAGCUGGGUUCAGAACGUCGUGAGACAGUUCGGUCC